AACGAACAGCGCGUGCAAAGCUCCGGCGUUAUCCGAGCGGUCUGGGCAGCUUGUGCUGGCCGCACCUUUCUGAUAACAGUUGCUCCGUUCCGGUAUUCGCCAAAUGUUAUUAACGUGCUUCAUCUUGUUUACUUCGUUUAUUACUAUUAUGCACUACGUCCAUGGUGUUGUUCCAGAUCCAUUUAGGCGGAAAGAGAUCGAGAUAACCUACAGGCUGCCAUGCACUUCAAACGUCUGCAAGGACAUGUGCAACGUGCGUGGAUGUUUCCAGGGCAUAUGCAAGUAUUCGCCGGACCAAGUGGGCUCACCUCGCAUAUGCAUAUGCAAGGGAUACGCAUCGAUAUGUGCCUGAAUGAACGCUACCAUGUGACAUCUCUGACCCCGAAAUUGAAGCAAGCCAGAAGGGAAAGAAAACAUUGUGCAAUUAGGAGAAGGCACCAAGAUAUGUCUUUUCAGAUUUCUUUUUGUGAAUCAAAGCCAAUAAAUUGUGAACACUGAAUAAACA